rnacentral:rRNA from 1 species
CCAAAUAAUGCAGCGGGCCNUUCGGGGUAUUUGUUGUUAAAGUGGGCUUNGGCUCACGCUUUGAGAUAGGUUUGCGUCCGAUUAGUUAGUUGGUAGGGUAAUUGCCUACCAAGGCGAAGAUCGGUAGCUGGUCUGAGAGGAUGAUCAGCCACACUGGAAUUGAGAUACGGUCCAGACUCCUACGGGAGGCAGCAGUAAGGAAUUUUGCACAAUGGGCGAAAGCCUGAUGCAGCAACGCCGCGUGAUUGAUGAAGUUUUUAGGAAUGUAAAAAUCUGUCGUAAGGGAAGAAAUGUUUCAGAUAUUAAUACUAUCUGUUAUUGACGGUACCUUACAAGAAAGCACCGGCUAACUUCGUGCCAGCAGCCGCGGUAAUACGAGGGGUGCUAGCGUUGUCCGGAUUUACUGGGCGUAAAGGGGUACGUAGGCGUUUUAACAAGUUAUGUGUUAAAUACUUUAGCUUAACUAAAGAACUGCACAUAAAACUGUUAGAAUAGAGUUUGAGAGAGGAACGCAGAAUUCAUGGUGGAGCGGUGACAUGCGUAGAUAUCAUGAGGAAAGUCAAAUGCGAAGGCAGCCUUCUGGCUCAAAACUGACGCUGAGGUACGAAAGCGUGGGGAGCGAACAGGAUUAGAUACCCUGGUAGUCCACGCCGUAAACGAUGAGUA